ACCCUCGGGUGACAGGGAGACAGGUGGUGCAUGGUUGUCGUCAGCUCGUGUCGUGAGAUGUUGGGUUAAGUCCCGCAACGAGCGCAACCCCUACGUUUAGUUGCUAACGCGUGAAGGCGAGCACUCUAGACGAACUGCCGUUGACAAAACGGAGGAAGGUGGGGAUGACGUCAAAUCAUCAUGCCCCUUAUGUUCUGGGCUACACACGUGCUACAAUGGCCGGUACAGACGGACGCAAAGCCGCGAGGUGGAGCAAAUCCUAAAAAGCCGGUCUCAGUUCGGAUUGCAGGCUGCAAUUCGCCUGCAUGAAGUCGGAAUCGCUAGUAAUCGCAGGUCAGCAUACUGCGGUGAAUACGUUCCCGGGCCUU
rnacentral:rRNA from 1 species